rnacentral:rRNA from 1 species
ACAGAGGUGGCGAGCGUUGUUCGGAUUUACUGGGCGUAAAGGGCGCGUAGGCGGCCUUGCGUGUCGGGUGUGAAAUCUCCGGGCCUAACCCGGAAAGUGCGCCCGAAACUGCAAGGCUGGAGUGCGGGAGGGGAGAUCGGAAUGCAGGGUGUAGCGGUGAAAUGCGUAGAUAUCAGGCAGAACACCGGUGGCGAAGGCGAAUCUCUGGGACGCUACUGACGCUGAGGCGCGAGAGCAGGGGGAGCAAUCAG